AUUGAACGCUGGCGGCAUGCUUUACACAUGCAAGUCGAACGGCAGCACGGGCUUCGGCCUGGUGGCGAGUGGCGAACGGGUGAGUAAUGCAUCGGAACGUACCGUGUAGUGGGGGAUAACGUAGCGAAAGUUACGCUAAUACCGCAUACGCCCCGAGGGGGAAAGUGGGGGACCGCAAGGCCUCACGCUAUAUGAGCGGCCGAUGUCGGAUUAGCUAGUUGGUAGGGUAAAGGCCUACCAAGGCGACGAUCCGUAGCGGGUCUGAGAGGAUGAUCCGCCACACUGGGACUGAGACACGGCCCAGACUCCUACGGGAGGCAGCAGUGGGGAAUUUUGGACAAUGGGCGCAAGCCUGAUCCAGCCAUGCCGCGUGAGUGAAGAAGGCCUUCGGGUUGUAAAGCUCUUUCAGACGGAAAGAAAUCUCCCAGGAUAAUACCUUGGGAGGAUGACGGUACCGUAAGAAUAAGCACCGGCUAACUACGUGCCAGCCGCCGCCGUAAAAC
rnacentral:rRNA from 1 species